rnacentral:snRNA from 1 species
CCAUUCACCAGCAGUAGAACAUGCUCAGCAUAAGGGUGAGGCUCAUCCAUUGCACUUUGGGUGUGCUGAUCCCUGUGAUUUCCCCAAACUUGGAAAAAUCAACUGCAUAAUUUGUGGUAGUGAGGGACUGCGUUUGUGGUUUCCCCUG